UCUUCAUCUCAUUCUUGCAUAAUAGAUCAUCAUGAUCUGGAAAAUUACUGAGAAAUUUGAGUCGUCGACCGAAGUUCUUCGGUUUCUUUUUAGCUGACAGCAAGAACUUAGAGUAGCUUUUGUGCUGGUAUUAUUCCACUUCCAUGCAUGUUCUAUCUUCUUCAUCUGAUAUAUCUGUACAAAGAUUACUGUUGCUUGAUGGUAACCAUCAAUGGCCUAAUCUGUACCUUGUUUAUUAAAUUUCUCUUCUCUGGUUUCUGCUGCUUUCAUGAUCUGAAAGUUCAGGAUGUCCUGAGUGGCCACUUACACUCCAGUUUCUUACUACUGGACAGUGCCUUCUCCUUGUACUAUACUUGUCCUUGCUCAUUUUGGCAUUUAUUUGGGCACGUAGUCUAGUCUAGUCUCAUUAGCGGACGUCUUAUCUAUUCUCCUAUCCGUACCAGGUCUUGCCCCGUUGUCGAGUUUUCAAAUCGAGACUUAUCUCUUGCUAUUAGUUACUGCAACCAACACGCUCUAUCUAGAGAGUCGUUCGUGAUUUCCUUCUUGAAUAGGCGGCUAAGAGGUCUUGUUCGAGUGUGGGGGGUGUUGUCCGUGGGUAGAAGAAGGCAGGGUAGUCUAGUCUAGUCUCGUUAGCGGACAUCUUAUCUAUUCUCCUCUCGGUAUCGGGUCUUGCCCCGUUAUCGAGUUGUCAAAUCGAGACAUGUCUCUUGCUAUUAGCUACUGCAACCAACACACUCUAUGUAGAGAGUCGUUCGUGAUAUCCUUCUCGAACAGGCGGCUGAGAAGUCUUGUUCGAGUGUUGAAAGACCGAAACUCCUACUCUUUGCAGGGUAUAUGACCAACAAGUCCGACGAACCCGACCGCAAAGCCAUCAACUCUCCGGGGUUAGCUUUUUGUUUUUCUUUUCCACUCAGUGCAGGUGAUAGAAAAAGGAAGGAGGUCAGCUUAUUCUCCUUUGUGCAAUGGAAUCUACUUUUUUAUUUUUAUUCCAUUCUUUGAAA